AGAGUUUGAUCAUGGCUCAGAACGAACGCUGGCGGCGUGGAUAAGACAUGCAAGUCGAGCGCUGAUUACAGGGUAGCAAUAUUCUGUAGUUGGAGCGGCGCAAGGGUGCGUAACACGUGGGUAAUCUGCCAUGAAGUUUGGGAUAACUUGCUGAAAGGCGAGCUAAUACCGGAUGUGACGAUUGGGAGGCAUCUUCCGAUUUUCAAAGUUGGGGACCGAAAGGCCUGACGCUUCAUGAUGAGCCCGCGGCCUAUCAGCUAGUUGGUGGGGUAACGGCUCACCAAGGCUAAGACGGGUAGCUGGUCUGAGAGGACGACCAGCCACACUGGAACUGAGACACGGUCCAGACACCUACGGGUGGCAGCAGUCGAGAAUUUUUCACAAUGGGCGAAAGCCUGAUGGAGCGACGCCGCGUGGGGGAUGAAUGGCUUCGGCCCGUAAACCCCUGUCAUUUGCGAACAAUUCGUUCGACCUAAUACGUCGAACGUUGAUAGUAGCGAAAGAGGAAGGGACGGCUAACUCUGUGCCAGCAGCCGCGGUAAUACAGAGGUCCCAAGCGUUGUUCGGAUUCACUGGGCGUAAAGGGUGCGUAGGUGGUGAGGUAAGUCGGAUGUGAAAUCUCCGAGCUCAACUCGGAAAUGGCAUUGGAAACUACCUUGCUCGAGGGUUGGAGGGGGGACUGGAAUGCUUGGUGUAGCAGUGAAAUGCGUAGAUAUCAAGCGGAACACCAGUGGCGAAGGCGAGUCCCUGGACAACUCCUGACACUGAGGCACGAAAGCUAGGGGAGCAAACAGGAUUAGAUACCCCCGUAGUCC
rnacentral:rRNA from 1 species